rnacentral:rRNA from 1 species
UGGGGAAUAUUGCACAAUUGGCGCAAGCCUGAUGCAGCCAUGCCGCGUGUGUGAAGAAGGCCUUCGGGUUGUAAAGCACUUUCAGCGGGGAGGAAGGCGGUGAGGUUAAUAACCUCAUCGAUUGACGUUACCCGCAGAAGAAGCACCGGCUAACUCCGUGCCAGCAGCCGCGGUAAUACGGAGGGUGCAAGCGUUAAUCGGAAUUACUGGGCGUAAAGCGCACGCAGGCGGUUGAUUGAGUCAGAUGUGAAAUCCCCGGGCUUAACCCGGGAAUUGCAUCUGAUACUGGUCAGCUAGAGUCUUGUAGAGGGGGGUAGAAUUCCAUGUGUAGCGGUGAAAUGCGUAGAGAUGUGGAGGAAUACCGGUGGCGAAGGCGGCCCCCUGGACAAAGACUGACGCUCAGGUGCGAAAGCGUGGGGAGCAAACAGG